rnacentral:lncRNA from 1 species
UUUUUUUUUUGGAUUACAUAAAAGUCACACUCCUUUUGCUCCCGUUAGAACUUUGAAUUUAGGCAGGGUAUUAAAAGACAACCCUCUAGCUUUCUCCACACCAGCGGGCUGUGGCCUUGUUUCAGGUUCUCUUCCCCAGAGCCACAACUCAGCCCUAUACUUCAGCACCACGGAAACACUAGCCUUUUAGCUCUGAAAAGAGAAAGGUGUCACAUCAGUAAUGGAGACUGAGCUUAAAGUGGGGGAGGAUCAGGCCUCUGUCAGAGAUCUCAUGAGGCUGGACCUGUGCCUGGGUCGCUGUGUUGCGCCGAAGCUUUUACUAUGUCCACUUCUAGAAUGUUUGGCUUCCUUCACCAAAACCAGAUCCUGGUGGGGAUCAUAAAACCUGUCCCGUCAAGUUCAAAAGAGAAUGCAGAUAAAUUGCACUUUGUAAACUAAAUCUUGACUCUCUAGCCAAUUAACUCUCUUUUAUGAUUCUUUCUAGAAACGACUGCAGCAGUAAAUGAGUCUUGUUAUGUGCUAGAUAGCCAGCAAAUGGGGAUUCAGACCCAGGUCAUCUUGAUUUUAAAAUGUGAGCUCUCCCAACUUCCCCCGCCCCCAGGAUGCCCAGCGGAGGCUGGGGAACACAAAAGGGAGAGGAAUUGCUUUGAAGUCUUUUAGUCAAAGAGGGCAGGGCUGGUGGGGGUGGGAUGGGGUGAAGCCCAGGGUUCCUGCCCUUGCUCUGCCUCCGACUUGCAGGGUAGCCCUAAACAGGGUGCUUUCUCUCCCCAGGCCUCGGUUUUCUUCUCCAUAAAACCAGGUGUUUGGAUCAGUGAAGCCCCUCUCCAGGUCAGGAUUCUGUAACCUAUAGACAUUCUCAGAGCCUUAGAGCUUAAGAAAAUAGGCUUAAAAAUUUACUUGGAAAAAAAUACAGAUCUUUUUAUCACUCAAAGAAUCAGAGGAAAAGGUUGCAAUAUUACAUCAUCUAUAAUAUGAUAACAUGUUAUUAUAUUUAAAUAAUAUAAAUAAAUAUAAUACGUCAUUUGUUGCCACUGGAACCAACGUAGGGGUUCAACUCGAUAAGGAAAGCA